AGCAGCCGCCGCGGUAAUACGUAGGUGGCAAGCGUUGUCCGGAAUUAUUGGGCGUAAAGGGCUCGCAGGCGGUUUCUUAAGUCUGAUGUGAAAGCCCCCGGCUCAACCGGGGAGGGUCAUUGGAAACUGGGAAACUUGAGUGCAGAAGAGGAGAGUGGAAUUCCACGUGUAGCGGUGAAAUGCGUAGAGAUGUGGAGGAACACCAGUGGCGAAGGCGACUCUCUGGUCUGUAACUGACGCUGAGGAGCGAAAGCGUGGGGAGCGAACAGGAUUAGAUACCCGCGUAGUCCCUGUCUCUUAUAU
rnacentral:rRNA from 1 species